UCUACCUUCCGGGUGGGGGAAUAACCCAGGGAAACUUGGGCUAACACCGCAUAAUGCAGCGGCACCACAUGGUGACAGUUGUUAAAGCGGGGGAUCUUAGGACCUCGCGCCUGAAGAGGAGCCUGCGGCGGAUUAGCUAGUUGGUGAGGUAACGGCUCACCAAGGUGACGAUCCGUAGCCGGCCUGAGAGGGCGGUCGGCCACACUGACACUGACAUACGGGUCAG
rnacentral:rRNA from 1 species